UGCGUGUGGUUGUGUGCAGGCAAUGCAGUUGAAGGAAGGGGGCGGGCCAUGGAGAAGCUGCUCCGACACUGACCAGGUAGAUUGGUCUCACACGGCCAGGCCCGCCAGAGGAGCCUCUCCAGCGAUGGGGAUCCUACAAGGAAGGAUUCCUUCCGCCUGCAAGUAUACAUCCAGGUCAAAUAUCCUAGACGGCUAGACAAGUCAACAUUGGAGGCGCAUGUUGAGUCCAGUGCCGGUUUUGAAUGUACGUACAUGCUGACUAGUAAAUGUUUAAGAAACUGUAUGUAAAUCACUGAAUAAUUUUGUUGGAUAUACCUUGCUAAUUUCUUUCUUAUGCAGGCGUUGGAUCAUUCGUUCUAGGGUGGAUUAAUAACGAUGAAUGUAUGUUGUUGCAAUUUUGUUGAGAUAUGCUCAAAGAUUAGCACUAAAUUUAAAUUUUACUACCUCUGUUUCUAGAUGUAGGAUUUAGGAACAGAGGGUCUACAUGUUUGUAGACGUUAACUCUCUGCCAUACUGUAUUCUUUUUCAGAAUUUUUAGAACAUCUGAAAUAUAGUUUUCACUUGGUUCCCAUUUUAAUAUGGAUACUGAGUAGUGAGACAUUAAUAUUUUACAUGUUUGUAGAAGAAUGACACUUCUUGCCUCUUUGGCAAAUAUGAGUAAUAACAGACAUAUAUUUCAUUUAAUCUUACCUGCAAGAAGAGUCCGUUUGGCGCCAUAAUCCGCAUCCUGUCCUUGUCGGCGUUGCGCACUAACCGGAACGUCUCCGACUUCCGCGGGGACGUCGCCGUGGCCACCACCAAGCCGUCGCUCUGAACGCCCAUGAACUGGUUGCCAAACACCUUCAAAUUGAACGUCGUCUCGUUGAUCCGCCAUAGCAAUCCCUUUUCUAUCUUCAGUUUAUAUUGUAUGAGGAGUACUAAUGAACAAGUUUUGU
rnacentral:lncRNA from 1 species